GGACGGUGUCCAGCCCGUUCACCUGCACCCCAAAAACAGCCCUGUCACCCCAAAAACACCCCAAACAUCACCCAGGAACUGCCCCACGGCCAUGGGGACACGGACGGUGUCCAGACCAUUCACCUGCACCCCAAAAACAUCCCCUGUCACCCCAAAAACACCUCAGGGACCCCAAAAACACCUCAGGGACCCCAAAAACCCCAAACAGAGCCCACCGUGUCCAGGAACUGCCCCACGGCCAUGGGGACACGGACGGUGUCCAGCCCGUUCACCUGCACCCCAAAAACAGCCCCUGUCACCCCAAAACCACCCCAAACAGAACCCACCGUGUCCAGGAACUGCCCCACGGCCAUGGGGACAUGGACGGUGUCCAGCCCGUUCACCUGCACCCCAAAAACAUCCCUGUCACCCCAAAAACACCAUAAACAUCAACAACCAUGUCCAGGAACUGCCCCACGGCCAUGGGGACACGGACGGUGUCCAGCCCGUUCACCUGCACCCCAAAAACAUCCCCUGUCACCCCAAAAACAGCCCAAACAUCACCCACCGUGUCCAGGAACUGCCCCACGGCCAUGGGGACACGGACGGUGUCCAACCCGUUCACCUGCACCCCAAAAACAGCCCUGUCACCCCAAAAACAUCUCAGGGACCCCAAAAACACCCCCAGUCACCCCAAAAACACCCCAAACAGAGCCCACCGUGUCCAGGAACUGCCCCACGGCCAUGGGGACACGGACGGUGUCCAACCCGUUCACCUGCACCCCAAAAACACCCCAAACAGAACCCACCAUGUCCAGGAACUGCCCCACGGCCAUGGGGACACGGAUGGUGUCCAGCCCGUUCACCUGCACCCCAAAAACAGCCCUGUCACCCCAAAAACACCUCAGGGACCCCAAAAACACCCCAAACAUCACCCACUGUGUCCAGGAACUGCCCCACGGCCAUGGGGACACGGACGGUGUCCAAACCAUUCACCUGCACCCCAAAAACAUCCCAAACAUCACCCAGGAACUGCCCCACGGCCAUGGGGACACGGACGGUGUCCAAACCGUUCACCUGCACCCCAAAAACACCCCAAACAUCAC
rnacentral:lncRNA from 1 species